CGGAACGUAGCUCAGUUUGGCUGAGAGCGCCGCGUUCGGGACGCGGAGGCCGCAGGUUCAAAUCCUGUCGUUCCGA
rnacentral:tRNA from 1 species